rnacentral:rRNA from 1 species
AUUGAACGCUGGCGGCAGGCCUAACACAUGCAAGUCGAAUGGUAACAGGAAACAGCUUGCUGUUUCGCUGACGAGUGGCGGACGGGUGAGUAAUGUCUGGGAAACUGCCUGAUGGAGGGGGAUAACUACUGGAAACGGUAGCUAAUACCGCAUAACGUCGCAAGACCAAAGAGGGGGACCUUCGGGCCUCUUGCCAUCAGAUGUGCCCAGAUGGGAUUAGCUAGGAGGUGGGGUAACGGCUCACCUAGGCGACGAUCCCUAGCUGGUCUGAGAGGAGGACCAGCCACACUGGAACUGAGACACGGUCCAGACGCCUAAGGGAGGCAGCAGUGGGGAAUAUUGCACAAUGGGCGGAAGCCUGAUGCAGCCAUGCCGCGUGUAUGAAGAAGGCCUUCGGGGUGUAAAGUACUUUCAGCGGGGAGGAAGGGAAUAAAGUUAAUACCUUUGCUCAUUGACGGUACCCGCAGAAGAAGCACCGGCUAACUCCGUG